rnacentral:rRNA from 1 species
GAUGAACGCUGGCGGCGUGCCUAAUACAUGCAAGUCGAGCGAACGGACGAGAAGCUUGCUUUUCUGAUGUUAGCGGCGGACGUGUGAGUAACACGUGUAUAACCUACCUAUAUGACUGGGAUAACUUCGGGACACCGGAGCUAAUACCGGAUAAUAUUUUGAACCGCAUGGUUCAAAAGUGAAAUACGGUCUUGCUGUCACUUAUCGAUGGAUCCGCGCUGCAUUAGCUAGUUGGUAAGGUAACAGCUUACCAAGGCAACGAUGCAUAGCCGACCUGUGGGGGGGUUCGGCGACAGAGGAACUGAGACACGGUACAGGCUCCUACGGGAGGCAGCAGCAGGGAAUCGUGCGCGCAGGGGGGAAGCCUGCAGGAGCAACGGAGGGUGGGUGAUGAAGGGCCUCGGAUGGUAAAACGCUGUUAUGAGGGUAGAACACAUUUGUAAGUAACGGAGCACAUCUUGAGGGUAUCUGUUGAGAAGGACACGGUUAACUCCGU